rnacentral:rRNA from 1 species
GUUCUUUUGUUUAUAUAAAAGAUUUGACCUGCCCAAUGAUUAAUAAUUUAAUGGCUGCAGUAUUUUGACUGUACAAAGGUAGCAUAAUCAUUUGUCUUUUAAUUGAAGUCUAGAAUGAAUGGUUUGAUGAAAAAUAUACUUUCUUUUUUUUAUAGGAAAAAUUUAAUUUUUCAGUCAAAAAGCUGAAAUAUUAUUAUAGGACGAGAAGACCCUAUAGAACUUUAUUUUUAUUUAUAUAUAUUAGUUUUGGUUAAUAUAUAAUAUAUAUAUAAAUAUAAAUUUUGUUGGGGUGACAAAAAAAAUUUAAUAACUUUUUUUAUUAAUAUCAUUUAUGAAUGGAAGGUUUGAUCCUUUUUUAUGGAUGGAAGAUUAAGGUUACCUUAGGGAUAACAGCGUUAUUAUUUUGGAGAGUUCUUAUCGAUAAAAUAGUUUGCGACCUCGAUGUUGGAUUAUAAUAAGAUAUAGGAGUAGAAUAUUAUAUUCUGGGUCUGUUCGACCUUUAAA